rnacentral:rRNA from 1 species
AUUGAACGCUGGCGGCAGGCCUAACACAUGCAAGUCGGACGGUAGCACAGGGGAGCUUGCUCCUCGGGUGACGAGUGGCGGACGGGUGAGUAAUGUCUGGGGAUCUGCCCGAUAGAGGGGGAUAACCACUGGAAACGGUGGCUAAUACCGCAUAAUGUCGCAAGACCAAAGAGGGGGACCUUCGGGCCUCUCACUAUCGGAUGAACCCAGAUGGGAUUAGCUAGUAGGCGGGGUAACGGCCCACCUAGGCGACGAUCCCUAGCUGGUCUGCGGGAAUGACACACCACCCUGGAACUGAGACACGGUCCAGACGCCUACGGGAGGCAGCAGUGGGGAAUAUUGCACAAUGGGCGCAAGCCUGAUGCAGCCAUGCCGCGUGUAUGAAGAAGGCCUUCGGGUUGUAAAGUACUUUCAGCGGGGAGGAAGGCGAUGUGGUUAAUAACCGCGUCGAUUGACGUUACCCGCAGAAGAAGCACCGGCUAACUCCGUGCCAGCAGCAGCCGCGG